rnacentral:rRNA from 1 species
CGGGAAGCCAACCCUAAGAUUAGAUUUCCCCUGACCCUUGAGGUCACUGAAGACUCCUCGAAGAUUACGAGGUUGAUAGGCUGGAGGUGUAAGCGCAGUAAUGUGCUCAGCUAACCAGUACUAAUCGGUCGUGAGGCUUGACCAU